rfam:Musca domestica strain aabys unplaced genomic scaffold Scaffold19478, whole genome shotgun sequence.
CCUUCGAUAGCUCAGUUGGUAGAGCGGUGGACUGUAGAAUUGUCAAUCGAAUAAAUAGACAUCCAUAGGUCGUGGGUUCAAAUCCGGCUCGAAGGA